rnacentral:rRNA from 1 species
GACGAACGCUGGCGGCGUGCCUAAUACAUGCAAGUCGAACGCAGUGGGGACGGGUGAGUAACACGUGGGUAACCUCCCAUCAGAGGGGAUAACACUUGGAAACAGGUGCUAAACCGAUACUGAUGGAUGGACCCGCGGUGCAUUAGCUAGUUGGUGAGGUAACGGCUCAACAAGGCACCGAGGCAUAUCCGCCUUGAGAGUGUGAGCGGCCCCGCUGGGACUGAGACACUGCCCAGACUCCGACGGAAGGCAGCAGUAGGGAAUCUUCGGCAAUGGACGAAAGUCUGACCGAGCAACGCCGCGUGAGUGAAGAAGUUUUUCGGAUCGUAAAACUCUGUUGGUAGAGAAGCGGUAUCUAACCAGAAAGCCACGGCUAACUACGUGCCAGCCGCCGCGGUAAUAC